UAUCUGGUUGAUCCUGCCAGUAGUCAUAUGCUUGUCUCAAAGAUUAAGCCAUGCAUGUCUAAGUACAAACCUUAAUACGGUGAAAACGCGAAUGGCUCAUUAAAUCAGCUAUGGUUCCUUAGAUCGUCUCAUCCUACUCGGAUAACUGUGGAAAAUCUAGAGCUAAUACGUGCUUACAAGCCCUGACCUCACGGGAGGGGCGCAUUUAUUAGAUCAAAACCAAUCGGGGCUUGCCCCGUCUGCUUGGUGACUCUGGAUAACUUUUGUGCUGAUCGCAUGGCCUCUGCGCUGGCGACGUAUCUUUCAAGUGUCUGCCCUAUCAACUUACGAUGGUAGGUGAUAUGCCUACCAUGGUUAUAACGGGUAACGGGGAAUCAGGGUUCGAUUCCGGAGAGGGAGCCUGAGAAACGGCUACCACAUCUAAGGAAGGCAGCAGGCGCGCAAAUUACCCACUCCCGGCACGGGAGGUAGUGACGAAAAAUAACGAUACGGGACUCUUUUGAGGCCCCGUAAUUGGAAUGAGUACACUUUAAAUCCGUUAACAAGUAUCUAUUGGAGGGCAAGUCUGCCAGCAGCCGCGGUAAUUCCAGCUCCAAUAGCGUAUAUUAAUGUUGCUGCAGUUAAAAAGCUCGUAGUUGGAUCUGAGGACUCGAAUUGGUGGUGCACCAUACGGUGUUACUGCCGAUUCGGCCUACCUAGUCGGUGCUCGCUCUUGGUGUUCUUAAUUGAAUGCCCUGAGUGCCCGGCAAGUUUACUUUGAAAAAAAUUAGAGUGCUCAAAGCAGGCCAUUAGCCGGAAUACUUCAGCAUGGAAUAAUGGAAUAGGACUUCGGUUCUAUUUUGUUGGUUUUCGGAACCCGAGGUAAUGAUUAAGAGAGACAGACGGGGGCAUUCGUACUGCGGUGUUAGAGGUGAAAUUCUUGGAUCGCCGCAAGACGAACAACUGCGAAAGCAUUUGCCAAGAAUGUUUCA
rnacentral:ncRNA from 1 species